AGUGAACGCUGGCGGUAGGCCUAACACAUGCAAGUCGAACGGCAGCACAGUAAGAGCUUGCUCUUACGGGUGGCGAGUGGCGGACGGGUGAGGAAUACAUCGGAAUCUACUUUUUCGUGGGGGAUAACGUAGGGAAACUUACGCUAAUACCGCAUACGACCUACGGGUGAAAGCAGGGGAUCUUCGGACCUUGCGCGAUUGAAUGAGCCGAUGUCGGAUUAGCUAGUUGGCGGGGUAAAGGCCCACCAAGGCGACGAUCCGUAGCUGGUCUGAGAGGAUGAUCAGCCACACUGGAACUGAGACACGGUCCAGACUCCUACGGGAGGCAGCAGUGGGGAAUAUUGGACAAUGGGCGCAAGCCUGAUCCAGCCAUACCGCGGGGGUGAAGAAGGCCUUCGGGUUGUAAAGCCCUUUUGUUGGGAAAGAAAAGCAGAAGGUUAAUACCCCGCUGUUCUGACGGUACCAAAAGAAUAAGCACCGGCUAACUUCGUG
rnacentral:rRNA from 1 species